GAGGAAAGAAAAUGAAGAAGGAAGAAAAAUACAGAAAUUAAAGAAUGAAUUUAGACUAAACCCUAAUCUAAUUUUAUUCAUCAGUUUUUGUAUUUCCCUUCUUUCUUUCCCUAAAACCAAACACACCAUAAAAGAUCAAUGCAACGUUGAUUUAGUCAAUAUUUUUAUCUAUCUCUGUAGCAUUUGGGACUCAAGGCCUUUCUUGCAGCUCCAACUUUGGCUUUUACUUCUUGCGGUACAACUAGACACAGUCUAUAGACGUCCUACUACAACAAAAACAAAUACAAUCAAUUACAUUUGCAUCAUAUCUUAAAUUUCAAAAACCAAAAAAUAAAUAAAAAAAUAAUAAAAGCCAACCCAGAUCCCAAUUUCAAGCAGGAAACAGAGAGAGAUAGAAACAGACAAGAGAAGUGAAAGUUAGAUUGUAUCAGCUUUCUUUCCUGAAACACUGGCAAGUUAUAAUUAAGGUGAAAGGGAGAGGAGAGGUUAAAAACAACACAGACAUGAUCCCUAAGUUAUUUACCCUUUCCUUUAUUUGUCUCAUGUGAACAUAUCAGUGGUAGCAGGUUUUGUGUGUGUACUGGUCUGGUUACACACUUUCUUUGGAAGCUAAAGGAGUUUUACUAUCUUGGUUUUGUUUUUUU
rnacentral:lncRNA from 1 species